UUUUUUCAGCUCUAGUAGGUAGAACAAAUUAAAGCCAACAUAGAUCAAAUGAUUCAAAUUAUUACCAUAUCACACAAGUCUAAACCAAGAAAUGGUGAAGUGAUGUGACCCACCAUGAUUUAUUUACUUUUAAAGUUUAAACCCUACUUCCCUUUGUUAUAAUAACUAGGUUAGUUAUUUAUUUUUUUUUUUUUUUUGAACACCAACUAGGUUAGUUAAUGUAUUAUUGUUCAGAGAAUCCAACAAAAAGGAAGUUG
rnacentral:lncRNA from 1 species